GCCUCUAUGGCACAGUGGUAAUGCGUCGCACUUGUAACCCAUAUAAGGCUAUGCGAAGGUACGUCUAAUGCUUCACACUGUGUACAGUAAUACCAGCAACUAACAUCCUAAACGAUCCGUGGUUCAAUUCCGCGUGGAGGCA
rfam:Pseudomassariella vexata strain CBS 129021 BCR38scaffold_3, whole genome shotgun sequence.